UACGUAGGGUGCAAGCGUUGUCCGGAAUUAUUGGGCGUAAAGAGCUCGUAGGCGGCUUGUCACGUCGGAUGUGAAAAUCCAGGGCUCAACCCUGGACCUGCAUUCGAUACGGGCAGGCUAGAAUUCGGUAGGGGAGUCUGGAAUUCCUGGUGUAGCGGUGAAAUGCGCAGAUAUCAGGAGGAACACCGGUGGCGAAGGCGGGACUCUGGGCCGAUAUUGACGCUGAGGAGCGAAAGCGUGGGGAGCGAACAGG
rnacentral:rRNA from 1 species